UCAGCACAUAAUACACUAGACCAACCCAAAAAACCCUAAGGCUCCUUCUUCUUCAUACCCUAAGAGCACGCCACCGUAAACAAAAACUCAGCCGCCGCCCACCACCUCAAGCCGCCUCUGUCGUCUUCUCUAAGACCCAAUGCUACCGCCCAUCAGCCAUACGACCAUCACACUCUCACCUCUCAAAAGCUGAACCCGGCGCCACUCUCAACAACCCUAGAGAGACCUUCUCCGCCAUCAGACCCACCAACGAACCUCUCCACCCCCACUGGACACCCCUUCUUUUUCCCCAACUGCUCCAGCAGCACCAGGGCGGCUGCAGCCGCAAUUCCCUUCUUCUUUGCAUUUUUUUUCUUUCCCUUUUCUGUUUCGCUGAACAAGGAGAAAAUAUAUUUUAAAAAAAAAUGUUUCUUCAUUUUGAAGACUAGUUGGUGACUAGAUUUUCAGGAAAAAAAACAAAAAAAGAAUUAUGCUACUUCAUUCAUUUUCAUUUCGGAUUUUGUGUCGAGUACGGAUUGUGAAUGAGUCGAGGUCUAUCUGAGUUCGUGUUCGUGGUUCCUGCCAAGAUUUCGCUGCUAUUUUUUUUGUGUGUGUUUUCUGAAGAGAUUAAUUACCGAGGCUAGCUGGUAUCAUAAUUCUUAUAUGCCGAAGAAGCUUUCUUCAACGAGAUCCAAGAGUCUCGGGACGUGAUAGUGAGUGUUGAUCAGUCUUGUAGUUUUGAAGUUAUCUCUGGCUUAUCUCUUUCAUGGUUCCAUAGGUCUGUUAUGGUGUUUAAUUUGCUAACUCUUUGGUAUACCUUCCCUACUGCAGCUCCAAUUGACUGGAAUUUAUGUGAAAAUUUGGUAUUUGUGUUCUCUUCUUUUCCUUAUAUGUAGCUUGGGAAUUGGGAAAGGGAUGGAUUCAAAGAGAUCUUAAACGGCUCUUACCAUGUUUUAAUUCACUUCUUUUCGUCUUGUCUUAUUUAAUAAUUGUUUCUUUUGUCGUUUUUCCUUAUUUGCAUAUCUCGUGUACUGUGGAUGCUUUGUUUAGUUUAUUACUUAAUCAAUUUGCCAUGCUUUGUUUGUUUGGAUAUUUGACUUGCUUGAUCGCAGUCAUAUGAUUGUGGAACGUGACGGGUAUAUGGGAAGGGGGAAGAUGGAGUCCGUAGUAAUUUCACCUUGCCUUGCAUGUUUUCGAAUUGGACUCGGUCUAAAUGUAUGAAAUAAGAGUUGAAAAGAACAUGAGUAUGAAAUGAAACUUUCUUUUAUUUAGUUUUCGUUAUUUUUUUACCGCUGGUAGCCUGUUUUAGGCCGACCACAUUCGGGUAGGCAAACUUUAGGAUUUCUCUUUUCUUUUCUUUUAUAUGAGGUGAGAGGUCGCCCUCUAGGUUUAUUCAUCCGGGGAAUGCCUCGUAGACUUUGUAUAUAGGUUAUGCCCCGUAGUAUCAUGUAAUUGAAUGCCGAAAGUAGAAGUCGUAGUAUUUUAUUUUUGUUUUUAUUUUUUAUUUUUUUUAUUAGGUGGGGACGACCUCGAGCCUCUUGUGUGUUUAUUUUUCUUUUCUGUGUUUAUUUUACCUCAAUUUGAAUUUUUUAGAAGCCAACUUGAUCAUGUACGCUAAGGCGGAUUUCGUCCUAUUUUGGCUAGGACUUGGUAGCUUCGACCGCACACGCCCCCAACAUGUAUAAAAGAGUUUCUAAAGACAUUAUUGGAGAUGAAAAAGGCUACGGGAACACUUAGAAGCAACGAACCGCAAGAGUUUUUCUCUUCUGUUCUUAAUCUUUAUUUUAAUGCUUUCAAUUAUUAUCAUGAUUGUUGGUAUGAUUAUGAGUAGAUAAACCUUUUAACUAAGGUUUGAUGGAACCUAUUGGAGGAUGAUUUUUUACUACGUUUAAUAUGAAUUGGCCAUUUAGUUUUCUC